CCCUUAGAUGUUCUGGGCCGCACGCGCGCUACACUGAUUCAUGCAACAAGUUUUGUCCUUGGCUGAUAGGCCUGGGUAAUCUUUGAACGUGAAUCGUGAUGGGGAUAGAUGACUGCAAUUUUUGGUCUUCAACGAGGAAUUCCUAGUAAACGCAAGUCAUCAACUUGCAUUGAUUACGUCCCUGCCCUUUGUACACACCGCCCGUCGCACCUACCGAUUGAAUGGUCCGGUGAAGCCUCCGGAUUGGCGCGCACCUCGGUGCCGCCGAGAAGUUGGCUAAACCUUACCAUUUAGAGGAAGGUGAAGUCGUAACA
rnacentral:rRNA from 1 species